GCACUGCUGAGGAGUCCCAUGAUAGAACAAAACAGCUGUCCAGUGC
rfam:Schistosoma rodhaini strain Burundi genome assembly, scaffold: SROB_scaffold0001428